ACGUGCUAAACACAUUUUCCAGGUCAGGGGAAUAUAGUAAAAGGAUGCAUAAGAAGUUGACCUCACCAGACUCUGAAGGAAACAUACAAAUUUCUUAUUACGGAAAGAGGGAUUCACCGAAGUGAUGAUGUUUGAGCUAGGUUCUGGAGGAAAGAACCGUGUGGGCAAAAACCAGGAAGGAACGUGAGGUGAAGACCCAAGGACAGGGGCAGAACUUUGUGUGCUGGCUGUAAAAGGAAGCAGGAUGGCUGGAGAUACAACUGGAACAGUAGUUGGGGAAAGCCUUGAAUUUGGGGAAUUGGGGCUGACCCUGGCCUUCUCCCCUUCCCUGGCCUUAUCCUCUUCCUCUCCUCUUCUCCUCUACCUGUCCCUGGGCACCCUACCCACAUCCUGGUUUCAGUGCUGUUGGUGCCAAAUCUCUCCUGACCUUUGGAUCCACAUAUCCCCCAACCUACUUGGACAUCUCCACAGGAUGUCCCUCAACAUCUCAAACCCACAUGUACACAUUGACAGCAUCCCCCUCCAGAUUUGAUUCUCCUGUACUCCCCUUUUCAGCAAAUGCUUUCCACCUCCACCCAACUGCUCAAGCAAGAAACCUAGGGACCAUACUUGACUCCUUUCUCCCCUUUAUCCACUUACCCUAUCAGUCAUUAAGUUCUAGUGAUUCCACUCCCACAUAGCUCCCAAAUCCAUCUAGGACUCUUUUCUACCCCUCUCCGUGUUUGGAUGGUUACAGUUGCCUUCUCACUGUUCUCCCACCUUCUAGUCUUCUCCACCCUCCAAUCCAUCUCCCAUUGCAACCAAAAGACUCUUUCAAAAAGGCUCCAGUGAAUCAGCAGCAUCUGUGCCAGCAGAAGGGCAAUACCCAUGGAUCAGGAUGAUUUCUGGAAGAGCAGAGCCAGAAGAGAGGCCAGUUUCAGGAGAGCUCCUCCAGAAUUCCUGAUGGAAACUUAGAAGAUGAGCAUUAGUGGGACGAACUACAGCCCCAAUUACUGUUCCUGUCCAGGGGCCACAACUAGUACUCAUUGCCUCCUUCAUUGUUUUCAAUCCUAAAUUCUCCUCACCCUCAGUUAGCAUCUCCUCUGGUCUCAGUGGCUUACCUGAGGAUAUGAGCCCCUGACCACCAUGCCUUCUCAGGCCAAGGUCACUGCACUUGUCCCCUUAUUGUCAAAAUCGAGCAAGAGAGUACUGAGAAGCAUUCAAACUGGCCAAGAUGAUGAUUCUCCUUCUUGCCUGUUGGUCUCUGCAAACAAGGUGCCCAAAGUGCUCAGGUAGUAGCUAUAGCUUAUAGAUCAAUAGUACUCUUGCUGUAUCCUCUGGUGGAAGAUUCCCCCUCGGGGGACAAAUAUCUCUAACCCUGCAGAGUCCAGAGUUGUGAGAGUUGGAAGCUCAAAUUCCACAGGUGCCCACUGAGAGUGAUGGUAGUAGGUCCCUCCUGAUUCUACCCCUUGGUUCCUGGGUCCAUGAAUUCUUCUGAGUGGGGACAUGGCACCAUAUGAAAGUCUUUGAUUCAAGAUGUACAUGGUAUCCUGGAAGAUGAACCCCAUCCUCAUAAAGUAUUGCCUCCAAGCUGGUGCUUCAAGAGGGCCAUUCUGAUGCCCUAUCAGGGAAGUAGCUUCUGGGUGGUCCCGUAUAUGACUAGAUGAGCAAACCCUGUGAUUAUGGACUCAUUCCUGAACCUCCACUUCAGUGAGUUGGGUCCCUGAUCUGACAUGAUGUUAUGUAAGAUCACUUGUGGUGGUGAAUGAAAUAUUCAAAAAGACCUCAGACAAUGGUGCUGGUUAAGAUCUUGCGGGCAGGGAAAGUAAACAGCAUCCAGAAUAUAUGUUAAUUCCUGUUAGGAUGAAUCAUGGCUCCUCCAGAAUGGAAGGGGUUCAAUGUAGUCAACUUGCCACUAUAUUGCCGAUUAGUCUCCUGAAUAGUUGUUAUUAUAUUGGGGGUAUAUUCAAUAGCAACAGUAGCUAAAAUUAGUUUUUGUAAGUGGGAGCCUAUGCUAUUACUCAUACUAGCCUCUGUCUCUGCUGCUGUAACCUCUUUAUUCACGUGUCCUUAGUGCCAGCACUGGGUGGCUGAUGACAGAGACUAGCUGAAGUCAUCUGGCCAAGUGAAUUUUGCUUUUCUUAGUUAUUUAGUGCCUCUUUCAUGGUGGAUGCUUUCUGGUGGGUGUCAACAUGUGAUACAAAGAUCUUCAUACUAGUGGCCUCGGUGGCUCAGU